ensembl:lncRNA
AUCCCCCACCCUCUGAAGGCAUUCAUGAACACAGACAUGUUCUUUCCAGCUCUGUUGCUCUCAUCUUAAUAAGUCUCAUUGCCAAAAUUGCCACGUAAUUUUACCUAUGGAUUUAAAUUUUGUAUAUUCUCUGACUGAUUUCUUUUGCCAUAAUUCUAUUAUGUUUAUCUGCACAAUUGGCCAGAGAUUUGCGUCCAUACAUAGCUAUUUGUAGCGAUCCUGUGAGAACUUCUAGACCCUCUUUCUUAGGACAUCGGGGUAAGGCUGACCACAGGAGGACAUAACAUCAGAGGCUCUGAGUUUCCAUAAAAGAUGGAGAUUCCCCUAGCUUCCAUAAAAGAUACCCUUAGAGGUUUAACUCUUGUAUUAGAGAUAUGCGUGCAUGCAUGCUAAGUCUCUUCAGUCGUGUCUGACUCUUUGCAACCAUAUGGACUGUAACCUACCAGGCUCCUCUGUCCAUGGGAUUCUCCAGGCAAGAAUACUAGAGUGGGUUGCCAUGACUUCCUCCAGGAGAUUUUCCCAACCUAAGGAUCAAACCCACAUCUCCUGCACUGCAGGCAGAUUCUUUACUGCUGAACCACCAGGGAAGUCCCAUAUUAGAUAUGUUGCUGUAUAAAUAAUUACCCCAUAACUUGGUGGCUUCAAGCAAUAGACCUUUGUGAUCUCUGAUCUCUGUUGAUCAGGAUUUCAAGUGAGAAGUUCAAGGGUGUUUCUGGCUCAUGAGGAUGUAGUCAAGACGCUGACCAGAGCCACAGUCAUCUUAAGACUUGACCACGGUCCGAGGAUCUUCCUCCAAGAUGGCUCACGCAUAUGGCUAUUGGCAGGAGGCUCAAGUUCCUCACCAUGUUGGACCCUCCCCAGGCUGAGUGUCCCUGAGACGCAGCGACUGGCUUCCAUCCCCCAGGGGAGUGAUCCAAGAGUGAGCAAGACAGAAGCAGCUCCCUUUAAAGACCUAGCCUUGGAAAUCACACACCGCCGUUGCUGAAACAUCCUAUUGCUUACACAGGGUAGAGAUGAGACCAACCAAGUGUUCACUUGUCCUCAACAGUAGAAUCUGAGAAGGAAGAAAAUAGGAGAAAGAGGAAGGGAAAGAGUUGCAGGAGAAGGCUGUGAUUAAGAUUGAAUCGCCAGUCGUGGCUAGAGAACUCCUUGCCAGUUACAGUGGGCUGGCCAGGGUUAGUGCUGAAUGUGCUGUGCUUGCCUGAGGUAUGUGAUCAAGGAUGCUCAUCCCAAGAAGGUGAGAAUUGGGUCAAUGAUUUUCUUGGGUAAAGGUGGAGAAACGGAGGCUGGAGAAUUCCCUGAAUAUAUGCACACACAUACUUUAUUUUAGCUUUGUUGGGGGUCUUAGAGGUCACAGAGUUCAACCUUUCAUCUGGUUGAUUCAUUCAGUCAGCUAAUACUAAGUGGUUACCAUGAGUUCAGUACUGAGGUUACAAUAGUGAACAAAACAGAUAAAACCCUGCCCUCGAGGAGC